rnacentral:rRNA from 1 species
GAACAACUCACCGAAAGGUGAGCUAAAUCUCCGUAACAUCUAGUCAUGGCAUCAUGAUUUGAUCAAGCUUCCUGAUGGAUGAGCCUGCGUCUGAUUAGCUAGUUGGUAGUGUAAUGGACUACCAAGGCUACGAUCAGUAGCUGGUCUGAGAGGAUGAUCAGCCACAUUGGGACUGAGACACGGCCCAGACUCCUACGGGAGGCAGCAGUGAGGAAUAUUGCUCAAUGGACGAAAGUCUGAAGCAGCAACGCCGCGUGAGGGAUGAAGGUGCUCUGCAUUGUAAACCUCUGUAGUUGGGGACCAAUAAACAGGUUACUACCUGUCUGAUGGUACCCAAAAAGUAAGGAUCGGCUAACUACGUGCCAGCAGCCGCGGUAAUACGUAGGAUCCAAGCGUUGUCCGGAUUUACUGGGUGUAAAGGGUGCGCAGGCGGACUUGUUAGUCAGAGGUGAAAUCUCACUGCUCAACAGUGAAACUGCCUUUGAUACUGCAGGUCUUGAAUCCAGAAGAGAGUUGUGGAAUUCCGAGUGUAGCAGUGAAAUGUGUAGAUAUUCGGAAGAACACCAGCGGCGAAGGCAGCAACUUGGUCUGGUAUUGACGCUCAGGCACGAAAGCAUGGGGAUCAAACAGGAUUAGAUACCCUGGUAGUCCAUGCCCUAAACGAUGAUCACUUGAUGUCGGCCCUCAGGGUCGGUGUCGAAGCUAACGCGUUAAGUGAUCCACCUGGGGAGUACGCUCGCAAGGGUGAAACUCAAAGGAAUUGACGGGGGCCCGCACAAGCAGUGGAGCAUGUGGCUUAAUUCGAUGCAACGCGAAGAACCUUACCUAGGCUU